AUUCCCUCACCAUCAGAGACCCUUCAUGGAACCCUAGCGCUGCCCCCAAAUCCUCCACCCUCUCCGGUGGCGGCGCCGCCUCUAAACCGUCCCAAAUCCACACCAUAUAACCCCCAACCCUUCUUCUUCCUAAAUCCUGGAACAUUUGCCCUCGAAUCACCCUAGGAUUCUUCGAAUCUUGAAUCAAAGUGUCGAACCCUAAAUUCCCAAAACCUCCAAAUCGAGAUUUCAGUGAAGGAUUAGGGUCUAGGUUGAUUUUAUUCAUGUGUUCUUAAUAAGAACACACGAUUAAUGUCAAACUCAGCCGAAAUUCAAAGAUUUGAAGAUUUUUCAAUUUCUACUGUCCAAGCCAUCUUUUAGGUAUUUUUCAUUGUUUUCUGUUCUUCACUUGUCAUUGUUAGUUCUCCUCCUAUCUUCUUCUUCUUCUUUCUUAUUAUUUUUUAAUUUUCUAGUUCUUCAAGUUACCUUGUAUGCAUGUUAAUUUUAGGUCUUUUUCUUUAAUUAGUGCGCUUUGUUUGUUGUGCGAAUGUGUUCAAAUGUAGUUCUGUUUCUAUUUUCUCUUUAGGACCAAGAUUUCACGAGUCCUUAGGACUCUGUAAGUGAAAAUUUGAGGGUUUUGAGCUUUUAAUUUUGAAUUGAGGCUCUGUUAGAGCAGAAGCCCAAGGAAAAGGGGUUCAAUCCGAUUUGUCUAGCCCAGUUUUAGAGUUUGAACCUUGGGUCAAUUUGACCCAUUUGGUUUCUGAAGUAAAUACAAGGGGUUUAAGGGUUAGUUUAGGAAAUUUAGGCUAGAGAAUCUAUUAUAACUGAUUGGGGAAACUUCUAGGAAGGUGGGUUUGGGGCUUUCUGAAAAGCUGAUUUUUAAACCAAGGACAUAAGAGCAAAAAUGAAAAUUUGAAAAGGGUAAAAGGGCAAUAAAUUAACUCAUUUCUGUUGCCCUAAGGCUUGCCUAUAAAAGCAUUGUUUCUUCACACACAAGGGAGAUUUUUUAGAAAUUCAGAGACUGAAAAUACUAAAAAAAAAAACUCUAGGAACAACUAAGCUUUUUCUAGACUCAAAAAUACUGAAAUUAGUUGAAGAAUUGGUUGGUUUUUGCUCCUCAAGUUCCUUGUUAGUCAAAUUUUUCGAAAGCUUUAAAAGUUGUAUUGAUUCUGGGUUCGAAGCUGUUUUAAAAGGCUGAGUAGUUGCUGAUUGCUUGGUUGCUUUUGUUGCUGAUACUCUGCUGCUGACCUCUUCUUAAUCUUGAGCUCAUUUCACUGAACUCCAUUGACAUAUUGAAUUGAAAGGGUUGAGGCUGUUUGAUUGAGCUGAAAAUCAAUGAUGUUUUGUUCAUUAGAUUUUUUUUCUGCAUUACAUUGGUUAUGUAAUUAACUAGUUAUCCUCAUGUGUAUGUUUGUUCUUGUCUAUUAUAGUUUUAAGUUCUGUUUAUAGUGUUGGACAAAUGCUUUCUUUUAUUUGUUUAGUUUAAAUGAGUUGAAGUUUCUGAUCAUAUGUGUGGAUGGUAGAGAAUCAGUGCAGUAGAAAUUUCAGCAGAAUUAAGCAUGUUUCAGAUCUGUUUUAGCCUACCGAAAUUAGUGUUAUGUGAAUUUGUUUAAGUUGAUAUUCAUAGGUUUGAAACCAGAAAUUUUCAAUUGGGGUUUAUCUCAGUGUUGUAUUCUGCUAUUUGGAAACCAUGUAGUACUUUACUUCAUGAAAUUAUUAAUUGAAUGGCUUCCAAGUUAGUAGUUAGCUUAUAGUCAUUUUGGAUAAGAAAAAUGGUCUGGUUGAUUACUUUAAGGGUCUAGCCCUGUGCAGAAUUGCUCCUGGUUAAUUUAUAAGCACGUUUAAGCUUAAAUUCUGAUUUAUUUACUUAACAAGCUUAUGAGUUUUUUGAUUUGCUAUUAUAUGUAUUGAAAAGAGGUUUAAUUAGAUUUGAAAUCUCGCACAAUUGUCUUUUUGAAUUAGCUGAGGAUUGAUUUAAAUAUGAUUCCUAUACAGUCGUGCAUUAUGGAAAAUCAAUCACUCGAUCUCGAGUCCUAUUUUUACCUUGCAUCAUCUUAAGAGAUUUUGUUUUGCCUUGGGGUCAGGAUUCUGAGGAGCUUGCAUUUACAGCCCUUUUGGGCCUGCGAUUCGAGCCCAUUUGCUUAUCCUCAACUUUGAUACGGGUGCUCAAAAUAGCGAUUGGGCCUGCUGUUAGUUUAGGCCCUUCCAAUAAUUGAAUGCUUGUUAUUUUAAUAUCAGCAUUUUAAAUGAACAAGUUUGGAUUGAACCAUUCGCUCGAAAUAAGAGUUCAAAUUCCAUUAGUGUUUAAUUAAUUAGAUUCCAUUAAAUAGAUUUGAGGUAUUCCAUAUUAAGUAAGAUCUAAUUUAUGUCCCUCAAAAGCUUAGUUUGAGUUUCCUUUAAAACCGGAAUCGAGGUGUGCCAUUUAGUUGAAUUUUCCAUGGCCCUCGCAAACUUGAAAGUGCGUAGUCGCUUUAGGCGCGUAAUUUAAAUUAACUUCCUUAAACUCGGGUGUGCAUUUCAUGUGACCCAAAUCCAAAUCUCAACAACGUUAAAUAAAAUGUGUCAGGGACCGCGGGUGCAUUUCAUGUAGCGUGGCUCAAGACGUGUUUUAGAUAACGUUGAAUCUUCCUAAAAUCAAUUAAAAGCGGCUAAUAAGUUAAAAAAGUACCAUAGGCUAAAACUUGUAUUAAAAUCGGAUAAUAGGCCAAUUUUAAUAGUUUAAGCGACCGUGCUAGAACCACGGAACCCGGGAAUGCCUAACAUCUUCUCCCGGGUUAACAGAAUUCCUUACUUAGAAUUUCUGGUUCGCAGACUUCAAAAGGAAAGUCGAUUUUCCUCGAUUUGGGAUUUUAAAAUAAACCGGUGACUUGGGACACCAAUUAAAAUAUUCCAAAUGACGACUCUGAAGAAUUAAAGUAAAUAAUCUCAUUUCGAUUAAUAUCACUUUAAUUGGAAAAACUCUCCAUAUACCCCCUCGGGUGGUAAAAAAGGAGGUGUGACAUCAGUCGUGUAUUUUCGUAUUCCAUAGUUAUUGUUGCUUUCGUUUUGGUUUUCUAAUUGCAUUACUUAGUGUUAGUUUAUAUUUUCGCUCCAGUUUUCCGAUUGGCUUGCUUGUUGUUGCCUUUUCCAUUUAUCUUUCUUAAGUCGAGGUCUAUCUACUUAGAUGUAGAGAUAAUGUAUGCAUACACACUACCCUCCCAGACUCUACUUGUGGGAUUAUACUGGGUUUGUUGCUGUGUGUUAUAUUAACAAUCAGAUUCAUAUUUUGAUAACUAUAAUGCCUAAAUCAAUAACUCUGGUAACAACACUGAUGAUCUGUUUCAGUUUCUUUCAGGGAAAAAGAAAGGUGUGGACUAGGCUUUUGAUGCCUAGCCACAUGUUACUAUACAUAGACAAGAAAAAUGUACUACCAAAGAUCCGAGUAAAAGUUGAUAUC
rnacentral:lncRNA from 1 species